GAUGAACGCUGGCGGCGUGCCUAAUACAUGCAAGUCGAGCGAACAGACGAGGAGCUUGCUCCUCUGACGUUAGCGGCGGACGGGUGAGUAACACGUGGAUAACCUACCUAUAAGACUGGGAUAACUUCGGGAAACCGGAGCUAAUACCGGAUAACAUGUUGAACCGCAUGGUUCAACAGUGAAAGACGGUUUUGCUGUCACUUAUAGAUGGAUCCGCGCCGCAUUAGCUAGUUGGUAAGGUAACGGCUUACCAAGGCAACGAUGCGUAGCCGACCUGAGAGGGUGAUCGGCCACACUGGAACUGAGACACGGUCCAGACUCCUACGGGAGGCAGCAGUAGGGAAUCUUCCGCAAUGGGCGAAAGCCUGACGGGGCAACGCCGCGUGAGUGAAGAAGGUCUUCGGAUCGUAAAACUCUGUUAUUAGGGAAGAACAAAUGUGUAAGUAACUAUGCACGUCUUGACGGUACCUAAUCAGAAAGCCACGGCUAACUACGUG
rnacentral:rRNA from 1 species